AGAAGAAGAAGAAGAAAAAAAGAAAAAUGACGCUGAGUAAUUUCACUUGCUUUGAACAAAAAGAUCAAGGGAAGUUAAGUUCUUUGUUGGGCUUUAACAGGUUUGAUUUUUGUGGGGAUUGAACGUAGGCAGGGAAACAACCUUCACUCACGAGGGCUGUAUUACGGUGAUAAACAGUUCUGACUUGAUUGGGCCGUAGGCUGUAUGCAAUUGCAUUUUCCUCACUAGAACAUUUUUUAUACUGACUUAUUGCAUUAAACUCACAGAAUUUGGGAGGGAAGACUGUUGAUGUAAGCAUGUAUCUACCUUAUUUGGAUGCAGACAAAGUAACCUGUGAGUUAUUUCAGUAACCUCGUGCGCCACUGUCUUGCAAGGUAAAAGCUUCAGGCUUUGAAGUCUGUCUGUGGUGCUCAGUUUGUCCCACACCCUUCUCCUGUAAGAUGGGAUGGCCGGGAGAAGAGGUCUGCAGCAUAGAGAUGGUUUGUUUCUUUUCACAAAGCAGGAACAACUUUCAAAAUUCCGUUUAAACAAGAAACAAACAAACACAACAUCAACAACAAACAGAAUUGAGGGCAUAAUGAGGUUGUGCAUGAAGAGGUACUAAAAGUCCCAGAAGGUCAGGAUAUGAUAGCAACUUGUGCCUGAAUUUUCAAACACAUUCCUCAUUUAUGAUAUCUCAUUAUUCAAUUUAUGUAGUUUAAUACAGCAGAUGUUUUUCUGUGAAUGUGAUACAGAUGUUUGCUCAGGGUUAGUGGGAGCUCCUUGGUGUUGUGAGUGCAUUAGUGCUCGUGUCACGAGCGUUCUGCUGGUGAUGUGAAGCUGUCAUUCUGUGGAAAGAGCAUGCCUUGAGGUUUCAAGCAGUAUGUUGCGUGUUUAAAUAUAGCUGUAUAAAAUAACAGUAAAUGGCUUCCUUUAGCAAACAAAUUGCCUAGGAGAACAGGGUGAAAUCUGUUUUCUGCCAACUGUUUUUGAGUUUAUAAAUCAAUCUCCUUAAUGGAAUCCACACAGACUUAUUGGAGACCGAGUGAACAAAUGUCUCUGGUGGGUUUGAAAACUUUUGCCUCGCUGCCUUUGGAACUGAAGGGGAAGACUUGAUAGUUUUACUUGUUCUUUUUUCCCUGCUCCCUCUCUGCACCUGGGUUUGCAGGAGGGAUUGGCUCAGGACAUGAACCUGCAGCCUGCUCAGGUCUAUAACUGGUUUGCAAAUUAUUGAUGAUGUCAAAAAUCCCAUCAUCUGCAUAUGGAACAAACUUAUGCCCUGCGGGUGCUUCGACCACACAAAGGAGCAGCAGGAUACAAAGCAUCCUACACUCCACAAACUGCAGGUUUGUCUCUUGCUGAUGGGCUUGGGAUGUGGUCUAGAAAGCUGAAAACCUCCCCUGGGAAGAGAAGGAUAGAGAAGAGUGUGGGUGCUGGAGGACUCUGCGUCAGUGGAGUUCCUCAUCCCUUGGCUAUGGGCUGUCCCUUCUACAGAAGCAGCAAGUACUAACAAGGCUUGUGCAGGGAAAGGUGAAAAGAGGUGCCAGAGUCAGAGGGCACUAAAUGGAAGCUAAUAUACGACAGCCAGUAGGUUUUAGCUCUCAGCUUUGGGGUCAGGAUGUGAAUUUAAGAGACUGAUCUGGGAACAAGAUGCUAUCUUUGCACUCUGUGCAUCAGUCACACUUUUGCUGAUGUUAAUGGCUAGCGAUCAUUCACAACUUGCUAUUUCAUCUGUGGUCUCAGUGAUCACCACUUAUCAGCAUUUUCUAUCCUCUGUUGAAGAGAAUGAAAGAUGCCAGUGUUCAUGUAGUGAAAAAGUUGGCACCUGCUUCUUUCUACAUACAGCAGGGAUCCAGUGCAUCCCUACUGCAGCACCUUGCCUUCCACCUGCCUGGCCAUUUUCACAUUGCUUCUUUCUUGUGGACUUCCCAGUGCUGGGUUGGAUGCAGAGUGCCUUCCAAAGGCAGCAAAUAGUGAUGGUUUAAAGGAGCACAAUAAUAGUUCGUAAACUUUUUCCUUAAAAUGUGAAGAGGAUUAUUAGAAUGCAGAUAUGUCAUUCUGAGCUCCAGUCCAUUCCCGUAAAACCCAUUCUUGUUGUGCUCCUUCACAGAGCCUUGACAUAACUUCAGUCAUGGGGGAAAAUGAGGGUCUUGGUGCAUUUGGCAAAAUAAACCACUGUUGGAUUGCUUCUUGGAGUAACUGUUCAUGUUCUUUGCAUGCCUGGUUUGCACCAUUCAGGUGGACUUUUUGUAAGCAUCAGCUCUGAGCAGAUGGAGACAGCCCUUGUGCCCUGUGACCUCCCAGGGUGGGAGCAAUCAGCUGCAGAUCUGGUCCCAGACAGACUGUGGUUGGCAGUCCUCAGUGCCCACCUGUUUCUUCACCCUGCGUAGAAGAAAGCCAAGCCCUGGGACAGAGCCAGGUCCUGGAGGGUCUGGCUGGUGACCCAUGGAGCAGUGACACGACCCAGGCAGCACGGCUGCACUCUGAAUGCUGAGCAAGGACAAAUGUGCCCCACCUGCAGAGAUGCCCAGUGCGGACUGCACUUCUCCAGCAGAAACCUCAUUCUUUCCUGGUUUUCUUUAUAUUUUAAAUGAAUGAGGAGUUUGAUGUGGAGAUGAGGAGCAGAAGGAAUGGGGCAGAAGGAUGAGGGCCUUUUCAAACAGUAAAGCUUACUAAACUGGGCUUUGUAGCUAAGAGUUUUGCAAAGGAUGUAAGAAGGUAGAUUGUGGAUUGGACGUUUUCACUGGAGCAGUCUGAAGCUUUUCUGAAGAUGUGAAAAAUACCAAGUCAGUGAUUCUGUGGCAGUAGCUGGUCAGGUCUCAGUCCUUCAUUACAUCCUGAAGGCAUGUGAAACCCAACGGAAACGGAGGAAAACCUGUUAUUUGGAUGUGGCGUUUCAAACCCCACACCUGGGCACGAUUACGCUGUGUCCCUGGUGCACCCAGUGUUCAUUCCCUGGCUCUCCCUUGGGAUGCCGUUUUCCCGUUGGCUGCUUUGUGCUCACAGCCCGCUGACCAAGGGUUGCGUGUGCCUUCACACAGUCUCCUUUAACAGUGGGGCGCUGGGUGAACCGCUGCUGCUACGCAGGGAGAGAAAGGCGGGACGCGUGUCCCUCAGCGGCCCAGCACCCUUUAGCCGCUCUCUCUCCCCUCUCCAAAGGGUCCUCCUGCCCUGAACCGCCCAGCAGGACCGCUGAGCAGAGGCGCUCCUCCCGCCGUCCGGCGCCAUGGCGGCCGAGCCGCCUUCCUAUUGGCCACCCUCCCCGGAGUGCCGGUAGCAACAGCGACAAAUAUAUCUCCCCGCCUCCUGAUUGGCUGCCGCCUCCCGCCGAGCCGU